AACGAACGCUGGCGGCGGGGCUUAGGCAUGCAAGUCGAGCGAGAAAGCCGCAAGGUGAGUACAGCGGCGUAAGGGUGAGUAAUAGGUAGUCAACGUACCCACGAGACGCGAAUAAUUUUCCGAAAGGGAUUGUAAUGCGCGAUGAGACCACGCUCUUUUCGGAGAGAGGGGUCAAAGGUCAGGGAUCCUUCGGGACCUGGCGCUCAUGGAGCGGACGACCUCCGAUUAGCUAGANGGGCGGGGUAACGGCCCACCAUGGCUGUGAUCGGUAGCCGGCCUGAGAGGGUGUUCGGCCACACUGGGACUGAGACACUGCCCAGACUCCUACGGGAGGCUGCAGUCGCGAAUCAUUCACAAUGGGCG
rnacentral:rRNA from 1 species